GGGUGGCGGGUCUUGUUGGAGUGGGUUCGGCUUCACAGCCCUUAAUGUGGCUUCCGAAGAGCAAGGAGUGAACGUUUAACCCUGGAAUUGAGGCAUGAGGCGAAUCAGAAGUUGUGCUGCUCGUGGUGCUUGUUGUGUGCACAAGUGGACUGUAAUUCUUGCAUGGAGCAGCAUUUUGAUUACCUGGAGCAGGAGGUGACUCAGCCACUUCAGGAGCUGUUGCAAGACAGUCUGAGGCAGAGUGCCAGGGCUUGGGGGACCCUGCUGUGGCCUGACUUGUGGAGAUCAGCUGUGACAGGCAAGUUUAGAAAUAACUAUGUAUUUUUAUUUUAUUUAGAUAAUUUUUUUCUUGAUUAAUAAGGUUGUACAAUAUAUUAACUGGUGUUUUUAGUAAUAAUAUUUAUUUGUUAUACAUACAAGCUAGCAGAAGUGUAGGAGUAGAAUUUUGUUGCAUGGGAAUAUAAAUUUAUUAGGAAUUACACAUUUUUUUAUUAUUAAAAAAUGUAUUACAUACCAUUGUAUUAUAUGAAAUAUAUGAGAUUUUUGUGUGAAAUAUAAUAUGCUAGAAUUUUACAAUAUUAAGAGUAUAUUUUUAUCUGUUUUUUAUAAAUUGUAUAUGGCAUAUUUAAUGUAAUUGAUGUCAUAGGAUGUAGAAUAGCUAUACAUGUUGGAAUUGAUAGAAACGAUCGAUAUUAUUAUAGCAUACGGAUACAAACGAUACUUUUAUUUCUAUUAUGUAUUUUAAUAAAGUUGUCUUCGACAUAA